GUAUUUUGUGAUGUUUUACCUCUUAUUGAAGUAUGGAAGUGAUGGAUAUGUGUAUGAAUUAAACAAAGAAACGAUGAUAUUAUGACGAUGAAUGAAGGUACUGUAUUAAUGGAUAGUAAUGGAAUAGUGAUUACAAUAGAAAACUGAAUAGAAGAAGAUAACAAACUAACAGCAAAAGUGCUGCUAGCCCACAAAGCACAGCGUGCUCCCCAAAUCACCAAAGGUGACCCCUACCAAGCAAAUAACAAAAUUCUUAGCUAAUCCCUCUCACUCCCCCUUUCCCACUAUAUAGUAACUAACUCAAGCAUAUCCCUUCUUUUUGCCAGCUCAUCCUCCCUUAUUUCUUUCUCACGCUUACUNNNN
rnacentral:lncRNA from 1 species